GCUUGAUCAUCCCCUGCUGAUGGAUGUGUGUGUGUACAUCAUAUUGGAGUUGAGUCAAUAUUCAUAGGUUUCAUAUCCAUGGGUUUCACUGGGCUGCAAAUGGAGAUUCAGCACUGAAAUUGCCUAGGAGGAAAGAAUCAAGAAAAAUCAUUGGAUGUUAUGAAUAUGAUGAGGCAGGCAUUAUGUACAGUACAACAACUUCAGGGUUUGGACAAACACAGGCAAUGUGGUUCUAGCCAAAAAAGAUCAUUGAUAGAACCAUGUCAAUGGAAAAUGUGGAAUUUUCAAGUACUGAAAACUGGGCCAGCAAAAAGUUCCUGUUGCUUCAAAAGAAAACUCCAAAGGAAAUCCAUGAG